rnacentral:rRNA from 1 species
GACGAACGCUGGCGGCGUGCUUAACACAUGCAAGUCGAACGGAAAGGCCCUGCUUUUGUGGGGUGCUCGAGUGGCGAACGGGUGAGUAUCACGUGAGUAUCCUGCCCCUGACUUUGGGAUAUAUUCAGGAAACUCGGGCUAUUACCGGAUAGGAGCUCCUGCUGCAUGGUGUGGGUUGGAAAGUUUCGGCGGUUGGGGAUGGACUCGCGGCUUACCGGCUGGUUGGGGGGGUAGGGGCUUACCAAGGCUUUGACGGGUAGCCGGCCUGAGAGGGUGACCGGCCACAUUGGGACUGAGGUACGCACCAGACUCCUACGGGAGGCAGCGGUGGGGAAUAUGGCACAGUGGGCGGAAGCCUGUUGCAGCAACGCCGGGUGCGGGAUGACGGCCUUCGGGUUGUAAACCGCUUUCGCCUGUGACGAGGCGUGAGUGACGGUAAUGGGUCAAGAAGCACCGGCUAACUACGUG